AUAUUUAUGAAUGUGAGCCUGGUAUUCUUUUGUAUUGACGGAUUCUGGUGAUCGAUCAAAACCUAUACACUGCUUAUUUGGAUUUGUUACAUUUCAUACAAUAUGGCACGAGAACAACACUCAUCUACGCCACCAUGGUUACUCGACGCAGGACCUUUAUUUCUCGUUCUUCUAAUAGGAGCUCAUGUUCUCGGACUGGUGUAUUGGAUUUAUAGAUUAGCGACUCAGAAACAACCGCAGCAGAGGCGAAAGGCUCAUUGAAGGAGAAGAAACAAGUUUGCAUCCUUGGAGAAAGGAAAUUUUGCAGCUGACUGCUUUGGGAAAUUGGCAAUGCUCAGAAAUGGCAAGCUAUAAAAUUUGAUAGUUUUUCUUUAGGUCUUCUAAGAUUGUUGAAGUAGAAUCUUUUCUAGAGAUUUAUAUUUGGUCCUUGCUGCAUGUGUUACUUGUCAGUUGUCGUUAGUUAUUUAUUAGUCAAUCUUCUUUUAUAAACUAACACAAUUUGAGUUGAUGAAUUGCUUUAUUAGUAGUAGAAUAAAUAAUUCAAAUUUUUGUUCUAA